UCCACGUGUAGCAGCGAAAUGCGUAGAGAUGUGGAGGAAUACCGAUGGCGAAGGCAGCCUCCUGGGAUAACACUGACGUUCAUGCCCGAAAGCGUGGGUAGCAAACAGGAUUAGAUACCCUGGUAGUCCACGCCCUAAACGAUGUCGAUUAGCUGUUGGGCAGCAUGACUGCUUAGUAGCGAAGCUAACGCGUGAAAUCGACCGCCUGGGGAGUACGGUCGCAAGAUUAAAACUCAAAGGAAUUGACGGGGACCCGCACAAGCGGUGGAUGAUGUGGAUUAUUUCGAUGCAACGCGAAGAACCUUACCUGGUCUUGACAUGUACGGAACCCUCCAGAGACGGAGGGGUGCCUUCGGGAGCCGUAACACAGGUGCUGCAUGGCUGUCGUCAGCUCGUGUCGUGAGAUGUUGGGUUAAGUCCCGCAACGAGCGCAACCCUUGUCAUUAGUUGCCAUCAUUAAGUUGGGCACUCUAAUGAGACUGCCGGUGACAAGCCGGAGGAAGGUGGGGAUGACGUCAAGUCCUCAUGGCCCUUAUGACCAGGGCUUCACACGUCAUACAAUGGUCGGUACAGAGGGUAGCCAAGCCGCGAGGUGGAGCCAAUCUCACAAAACCGAUCGUAGUCCGGAUUGCACUCUGCAACUCGAGUGCAUGAAGUCGGAAUCGCUAGUAAUCGCAGGUCAGCAUACUGCGGUGAAUACGUUCCCGGGUCUUGUACACAC
rnacentral:rRNA from 1 species